rnacentral:rRNA from 1 species
CAGUAGCCGCGGGAAUACGUAGGUGGCAAGCGUUGUCCGGAAUUAUGGGGCGUAAAGGGCUCGCAGGCGGUUUCUUAAGUCUGAUGUGAAAGCCCCCGGCUCAACCGGGGAGGGUCAUUGGAAACUGGGAAACUUGAGUGCAGAAGAGGAGAGUGGAAUUCCACGUGUAGCGGUGAAAUGCGUAGAGAUGUGGAGGAACACCAGUGGCGAAGGCGACUCUCUGGUCUGUAACUGACGCUGAGGAGCGAAAGCGUGGGGAGCGAACAGGAUUAGAGACCCCUGUAGUCCCUGUCUCUUAUAC